CCUACGGGAGGCAGCAGUCGAGAAUCAUUCACAAUGGGGGAAACCCUGAUGGUGCGACGCCGCGUGGGGGAAUGAAGGUCUUCGGAUUGUAAACCCCUGUCAUGUGGGAGCAAAUUAAAAAGAUAGUACCACAAGAGGAAGAGACGGCUAACUCUGUGCCAGCAGCCGCGGUAAUACAGAGGUCUCAAGCGUUGUUCGGAAUCACUGGGCGUAAAGCGUGCGUAGGCUGUUUCGUAAGUCGUGUGUGAAAGGCGCGGACUCAACCCACGGACGGCACAUGAUACUGCGAGACUAGAGUAAUGGAGGGGGAACCGGAAUUCUCGGUGUAGCAGUGAAAUGCGUAGAUAUCGAGAGGAACACUCGUGGCGAAGGCGGGUUCCUGGACAUUAACUGACGCUGAGGCACGAAGGCCAGGGGAGCGAAAGGGAUUAGAUACCCGUGUAGUC
rnacentral:rRNA from 1 species